rnacentral:lncRNA from 1 species
AUUUGAGGCAGAUCAAUAUUUAAUACUGAACACUAACUUAUGUUCUUAUUUGUUUAGAAUCUCUGCUUUCAAGAGGAGAGUUGGCCCUGAGAUCCAUUUCAAAGGACUUGUGAACAUCCAGUCAAUAGAAAAAUACAUUCAGAAAACACUUACUGAACAUUUAUGAUGUGUCAGACACUGUGUUAGAAACUUGGGAGGCAAAGCUUCUACGUCUAAGAAGCUCAGAGUCAAGUUGGGGGCAGUUUCCUGUGGAACCUGGAAGGAUCAGGAUUCCUGAAAAUUUAAACCAGAACUCAGAUAUUCCAGUAAUUGCUCAUCAAGUGCCCACUAGUAGCUAAGCAUCUGCUACACAACAGCAUACAAAGUCUGGAAGGUCCAAAUUGGAUGUUUACUUGCAGUGAAUAUGUUUUUAAUGGUUUGUUAUAUUCAGAGGAUCAUAACUUCAAAGAUGGUCAUCAAUUAAUUCACAAAGAUAAUGUCAGAAGCAGGAUCCAAAGUGGAGCUUCUAGUGACCCCCAGGAGUGCUGAGUAAACACGCAAGGUACCUGCAGGACCCACUUGUGUCCAUUGAUCUCUCAGAGCAGCUGGGCAUCGUGGGUAAAGACCUUCACAAUCGGGAACCCGUAGAUUGGAUCUUCUGAAAACAUCAGAGAAAGACUAUCUUUGCCAUCCACACUACAGUAAAACUUUGGAGCCUUGAACCUUGGAUUUAUAAUCUCACAACUGAGAAGGGUCCCUCCAUACUCCUGGAACUGUACACCCAUUGGAACUCUUAAGACAUUCUAUAACAAGUGAAGAGAUGAAGGAGAAAACUGGCUUGGGCCCAAUAUUCAGUAUGGUUGGAAACCACUUCAAGGAAGAGGUGCAAAUAUAUUCUAACUUAGAAGGAGGUAAGAAUCAGCAGAAAAGAAGGAAUCUUUGGAGAGCCAAAACCAUCUCUACACCAAAUUGAGAGACUGGAAUUAUAAGGUGAAUGCAAUUAACUGGCAGUCGCAUCCAUGUUGAGAACACAGUCAUCCCUUUAAUAGAGAACAUUUGCUGUGCUUGACAAACUCACAGUGAAAUGGUUGGAUCCAUAGGAAGCAACAUGCUGAAAAUGGUUUCAAUAUGAUCCUGUUUUUUCACUCAAUAGCCAUUGAUUGAGGGUGUCCAGCCAAAAACAAUGAGAAAAUGAGCCAACAAUAGUCUUACCCUUUGACCAUAUUAGAUAAAGUCGCAGCUGAAAUUUGUUAUAUGUUUCAGGAAUAACAAAGCAUCCAUAUGGAACAUAUAUUUGGCAGUGUGGCAGCUGAUGAAACCAGGAAAAUUAGACAAAUUAUCAAUUGCUCGCUCCCAAAUUACCCCAAAAAGAAAUUAGAUCCAUUUUCAGUAGCUUUGCCUUCAAAUUUCUUCAUUCCGUGAGUCACCACUACCUUCUGCCAAACUAAAUAUGUCUAUGAACGGCUGGAAACUUUAAUGGAAAGAAACAUAAAACUCAAACUACGUAGGAAAAUUUAAGCUUCUUCAUGGAAGAUCUUCGUGGAAGACUAGCAAGUUAGGAAUGUGUGAAGACAGACAACACAUCGAUAAUUCCUUUUGUUUGGGGUCACUUCUGAGUUAGAGAGCAAUGCAAC